rnacentral:lncRNA from 1 species
UAUAAGAAACAAAUAUUCUCAAUUUUGGAAAUAAAAAAUAAAUGAGAAAAUAGAAAAUACAUUAGAAUGAAGAUGUUUGGAUCUAUAAAAUAAAGAGACGAAACGCAAACACUCUAAGGGCCUGACUGGUUUAAACGCAGCGGGUGCGGUUGCGUCUGCGGGAGUUUGCGGAAGCGGGCGGUUGCGGUUACAAGCGUUAUGAUGCAUUUUGAACGACUGGUUAAGAGGUUGAAAAUUGGUGCGUUUGCGGGAGUUUUAUGACUGGUUAACCAGUGGAUGCGACAACGGUUAAAUCGAAAAUGAUCAAAAGAAAUAUAAUUUAUAAUUAUAUAAUAUAUAAAAACACUAAAUAUUUAUAUUAUUAUGAUAAAAUACAAAACAAUUUAUAUAUA